CUCUCUGUCGCCUAGUCUGGUUUAGGGCGCCACAUUUGGGAUGUGGAUCACGUCAGUUCAAAUCUGACCAGAGAGACCA
rnacentral:tRNA from 1 species